GGGAAACCCUGACGAUGCGAAGCCGCGUGGAGGAUGAAGGCCUUAGGGUUGUAAACUCCUGUCAAGAGGGAAUAAGCAAGUGAAGGUACCUCUAGAGGAAGGGGCGGCUAAUUCCGUGCCAGCAGCCGCGGUAACACGGAAGCCCCGAGCGUUGUUCGGAUUCAUUGGGCGUAAAGGGUGCGUAGGCGGCGCGGAAAGUCCGGCGUGAAAGGCAGAGGCUCAACCUCUGGACUGCGUUGGAUACUUCCGUGCUUGAGGACUGGAGGGGAGACUGGAAUUCACGGUGUAGCAGUGAAAUGCGUAGAUAUCGUGAGGAAGACCGGUGGCGAAGGCGAGUCUCUGGACAGAUCCUGACGCUGAGGCACGAAGGCUGGGGGAGCGAACAGGAUUAGAUACCCUGGUAGUCCCAGCAGUAAACGAUGUGAGCUUGAUGUGGGGGGAUUCGACCCCUUCCGUGUCGAAGCUAACGCGAUAAGCUCACCGCCUGAGGAGUACGGCCGCAAGGCUAAAACUCAAAGAAAAUGACGGGGACCCGCACAAGCGGUGGAGUAUGUGCUUAAUUCGAUGCAACGCGAAGAACCUUACCUGGCCUUGACAUGCAUUGUGUCGUCGGUGAAAGCCGGCUAGUCCUGGAAACAGGACGCUUUGCACAGGUGCUGCAUGGCUGUCGUCAGCUCGUGUCGUGAGAUGUUGGGUUAAGUCCCGCAACGAGCGCAACCCUUGUGGUCAGUUACUAACCGGCUUAGCCGGAGGACUCUGGCCAGACUGCCCUGUCAAACGGGGAGGAAGGUGGGGACGACGUCAAGUCAGUAUGGCCCUUAUGGCCAGGGCUGCACACGUACUACAAUGCCCGGUACAAUGUGAACCGAAACCGCGAGGUGGAGGAAAUCGCUCUUGAAAACCGGGCCCAGUUCGGAUUGGAGUCUGCAACUCGACUCCAUGAAGUCGGAAUCGCUAG
rnacentral:rRNA from 1 species